CGCGUGGGAACGUACCCUUUACUAAGGAAUAGCCACUGGAAACGGUGAGUAAUACCUUAUACGCCCUUCGGGGAAGAAUUAUCGGUGAAGGAUCGGCCCGCGUUAGAUUAGUUAGUUGGUGGGGUAACGGCCUACCAAGACUACGAUCUAUAGCUGGUUUGAGAGGAUGAUCAGCAACACUGGGACUGAGACACGGCCCAGACUCCUACGGGAGGCAGCAGUGGGGAAUCUUAGACAAUGGGGGCAACCCUGAUCUAGCCAUGCCGCGUGAGUGAUGAAGGCCUUCGGGUUGUAAAGCAC
rnacentral:rRNA from 1 species